UACGAAGGGUGCAAGCGUUAAUCGGAAUUACUGGGCGUAAAGGGUGCGUAGGCGGUUGUUUAAGUCUGUCGUGAAAUCCCCGGGCUCAACCUGGGAAUGGCGACGGAAACUGGGCAGCUAGAGUGUGUCAGAGGAUGGUGGAAUUCCCGGUGUAGCGGUGAAAUGCGUAGAGAUCGGGAGGAACAUCAGUGGCGAAGGCGGCCAUCUGGGACAACACUGACGCUGAAGCACGAAAGCGUGGGGAGCAAACAGG
rnacentral:rRNA from 1 species